GGUAGCGCAAUCACUUGUCUUUUAAAUGAAGACCUGUAUGAAUGGCAUCACGAGGGCUUAGCUGUCUCCUCUUUCAAGUCAAUGAAAUUGAUCUGCCCGUGCAGAAGCGGACAUAAGAACAUAAGACGAGAAGACCCUAUGGGGCUUUAGACACCCGGCAGACCCUGUUAAGUAGCUGAACUAUCAGAUUAAAACAAAGCGGCCCCUGGCCUACAUGUCUUCGGUUGGGGCGACCACGGGGGAAAACAAAGCCCCCACGAGGAUUAAGGAAAACCUCCUUAUAACCACGAGCGACAGCUCUAAGUCUCAGAACUUCUGACCAAAAGGAUCCGACACCAGUCGAUCAACGGACCAAGUUACCCUAGGGAUA
rnacentral:rRNA from 1 species